GAUGAACGCUGGCGGCGUGCCUAAUACAUGCAAGUCGAGCGAACGGACGAGAAGCUUGCUUCUCUGAUGUUAGCGGCGGACGGGUGAGUAACACGUGGAUAACCUACCUAUAAGACUGGGAUAACUUCGGGAAACCGGAGCUAAUACCGGAUAAUAUUUUGAACCGCAUGGUUCAAAAGUGAAAGACGGUCUUGCUGUCACUUAUAGAUGGAUCCGCGCUGCAUUAGCUAGUUGGUAAGGUAACGGCUUACCAAGGCAACGAUGCAUAGCCGACCUGAGAGGGUGAUCGGCCACACUGGAACUGGGACACGGUCCAGACUCCUACGGGAGGCAGCAGUAGGGAAUCUUCCGCAAUGGGCGAAAGCCUGACGGAGCAACGCCGCGUGAGUGAUGAAGGUCUUCGGAUCGUAAAACUCUGUUAUUAGGGAAGAACAUAUGUGUAAGUAACUGUGCACAUCUUGACGGUACCUAAUCAGAAAGCCACGGCUAACUACGUGCCAGCAGCCGCGGUAAUACGUAGGUGGCAAGCGUUAUCCGGAAUUAUUGGGCGUAAAGCGCGCGUAGGCGGUUUUUUAAGUCUGAUGUGAAAGCCCACGGCUCAACCGUGGAGGGUCAUUGGAAACUGGAAAACUUGAGUGCAGAAGAGGAAAGUGGAAUUCCAUGUGUAGCGGUGAAAUGCGCAGAGAUAUGGAGGAACACCAGUGGCGAAGGCGACUUUCUGGUCUGUAACUGACGCUGAUGUGCGAAAGCGUGGGGAUCAAACAGGAUUAGAUACCCUGGUAGUCCACGCCGUAAACGAUGAGUGCUAAGUGUUAGGGGGUUUCCGCCCCUUAGUGCUGCAGCUAACGCAUUAAGCACUCCGCCUGGGGAGUACGACCGCAAGGUUGAAACUCAAAGGAAUUGACGGGGACCCGCACAAGCGGUGGAGCAUGUGGUUUAAUUCGAAGCAACGCGAAGAACCUUACCAAAUCUUGACAUCCUCUGACCCCUCUAGAGAUAGAGUUUUCCCCUUCGGGGGACAGAGUGACAGGUGGUGCAUGGUUGUCGUCAGCUCGUGUCGUGAGAUGUUGGGUUAAGUCCCGCAACGAGCGCAACCCUUAAGCUUAGUUGCCAUCAUUAAGUUGGGCACUCUAAGUUGACUGCCGGUGACAAACCGGAGGAAGGUGGGGAUGACGUCAAAUCAUCAUGCCCCUUAUGAUUUGGGCUACACACGUGCUACAAUGGACAAUACAAAGGGUAGCGAAACCGCGAGGUCAAGCAAAUCCCAUAAAGUUGUUCUCAGUUCGGAUUGUAGUCUGCAACUCGACUAUAUGAAGCUGGAAUCGCUAGUAAUCGUAGAUCAGCAUGCUACGGUGAAUACGUUCCCGGGUCUU
rnacentral:rRNA from 1 species